rnacentral:lncRNA from 1 species
GAAUACCUCGGUAACACCGAAGAACCCAAGAAGGAAGAAUGACAGAUUCAAAACAAAAAGUCAAAAUUCUUUUUUAAAAAAAUUGCAUUCUAAAGGAAAUCACGUAUGUAUCAGAGGGGUCAACAAAAUGGCUCAGUGGGCGAAGUCACUUGCUGCCAAGUCUGAUGACCUGAAUUUGAUACCUCAGACCCACACGGUGGAAGAUAACUGACUCCAGCAAAUGUCCCAUGAGUUCCACACACACACACAAUUGUGGCUUGUGUUCACACCCACACGGGAUACAAUGUAUCGAAAAGUAUGUGCAUUUGCACAAAUGUGGGGUGUGUGUGUGUGUGUGUGUGUGUGUGUGUAAGAGUGCAGUGUUAGACUCCAGCUGCAGCUCAGUCACAGAACCUUGCAGUAGCCCCUCCUCUCUCCCAGACACUGACAGGUGCCCUGCUGUGACUGCCUCUGUGAGGCUCCUGCUAACAGACUUGCAGGAGCCUGGAUCUCCCAUCUGCCAGGAGCAACUAUUCCCAAGUCUUCCUGAUGACUCACAGUGUCCCUAUGAGUGGCCGCCUGGACUGCAGGCGGUACAUCUUAUUUAAUUAGAUAAUGAUUAGGU